AAGCUCUGCAUGAAUGUCUGCUCUCGUAACUACAGCAAAACCCAGAAAUGAAGGCCACUAUUAUUUUCCUGGCUGCAAUAUUACUCUUGACAUCUUCUACAGAUGCGAGACUAAGAUGUCCAGGAGGUGUGCGGUCGACUGGUAGUUGUAGAAGUAACCGCCAUUGUAACAGUUGGUCCUACUGUUACAGACCUGGGGGUCAGCUUCGCUAUGGAUACUGUUGCUCGUGGAAACAGGGCCCAUAUUAAGCAUAAUUGCUUGUGUUAUGUUAACUUUCACGCUGCUGAAUAAAAAGAGCAGCAAUCUGCUAUGUUAUCAUAAAA